AUCCUGAUGACGAAUCCUAAAAAGGACGAAAUGCGAAUCAUGGAU
rnacentral:hammerhead_ribozyme from 1 species